rfam:Glossina brevipalpis unplaced genomic scaffold Scaffold5, whole genome shotgun sequence.
GGAAGUCUUCAAUUCCGUAGUGCAUUGCAGUUUGUCGAUUUGAAAAUUACUGCAAGCAUUGUGGAAAUGAUGAUUUUCUA